GCCGCCGCCGCUCCCGCGCUACUUAAGCGCGGAGGGCGCAGCCCGGCAGCCCCGCGGGGAGAUCCGGCGGAGGGCGAGCAAUCAUAGUAGUAGUCGUCUAUCUCUAAGAGAACGAGAAAAGCACAGCCGGGAUGCUCCGUCCGUGACCCGCAGGCGGGGAAAGGGGUGGGGGGGCCAGGUUGUGAGUCCGCCAAACACCUGAGAAAUAAAGCACGACCGAACAAUUUUCGAGGCGGGCGGGGGAAGUGGGGGGCGAAAAGUUUGCCGGAGCUCGGGCGUCUCUGGGGGGGGCGGGCGCGAUGCCGCCCUGGCUGCUCGGCAGCCUCUGCUGCGUCCUGGCGGCGCGGGCGGCGCUGGGCGGCGGCUCCGCGGGCGCGGAGGAGGAGGAGGAGGAGAAGCUGAUCCGGGUGCUGGUGCUGCUGCCGCAGGACGACGCCUACCUCUUCUCGCUGGGGCGGGUGCGCCCGGCCAUCGAGUACGCGGUGCGGAGCCUGCGGGAGAGCGGCGCGGGUCUGCCGCCCGGCUACUCCUUCCAGCUCACCUACGAGGACUCGGCGUGCGGCAACCGCGCCCUGUUCAGCCUGGUGGACAUGGUGGCCCUGCAGCGCCGCCGCCCCGACCUGCUGCUGGGGCCCGUGUGCGAGUACGCGGCGGCGCCCGUGGCGCGGCUGGCGGCGCACUGGGACGUGCCGAUGCUGUCGGCGGGCGCGCUGGCCGCGGGCUUCGGCGCCAAGGCCGGCGAGUACUCGCACCUCACCCGCGUGGCCCCCGCCUACGCCAAGAUGGGCGAGAUGCUGCUGGCCCUCUUCCGCCACCACCAGUGGAACCGGGCCACGCUGCUCUACAGCGACAGCAACCCCGAGCGCAGCUGCUACUUCGCCAUGGAGGGCGUCCAUGUGGUCUUCCAGGAGGAAGCCUUCCACAUGGCCGUGCACAGCUUCGACGAGACCAGCCGCCACCUCGACCUCGACGACGUCGUCCGCGCUCUCCAGACCGGCGAGAGGGUUGUAAUCAUGUGUGCCAGCGGUGACACUAUCAGGAACAUCAUGUUGGCUGCUCAUCGGCAAGGAAUGACCAACGGGGACUACGCUUUCUUCAACAUUGAACUCUUCAACAGCUCAUCAUAUGGAAAUGGUUCUUGGAGAAGAGGAGACAAACAUGACCUUGAAGCCAAGAAAGCAUACUCGUACCUCCAGACUGUCACUCUGCUAAGGACCGUGAAGCCUGAGUUUGAGAAGUUUUCAUUGGAGGUGAAAAGUUCUGUUCAGAAGCAAGGUCUUCAUGAGGAUGACUAUGUGAACAUGUUUGUGGAAGGAUUCCAUGAUGCUAUUCUUCUUUAUGCUCUAGCUUUACAGGAGGUCCUGAAGUUUGGUUUCACUAAGAAAGAUGGGGAAAAAAUUGUUCAGCAAACACGGAACAGAACAUACGAAGGCAUUGCAGGGCAGGUGUCCAUUGAUGCAAACGGAGACAGAUACGGGGAUUUCUCUGUGAUUGGAAUGACAGACCCAGAGGCAGGCACACAGGAGGUGAUCGGGGACUACUAUGGAAAGCAGGGGCGUUUUGAGAUUCGGUCAAAUGUGAAAUACCCUUGGAAUCAUGGCAGGCUGCGGCUAGAUGAAAGCCGAGUUUCAGAGCACACAAACAAUACACCGUGUAAAUCAUCAGGUGGUCUAGGAGAAUCAGCAGUUACAGGAAUAGUUGUGGGUGCCUUGCUUGGAGCAGGAUUGCUAAUGGCUUUUUACUUUUUCAGAAAGAAAUACAGAAUAACUAUUGAGAGACGAACUCGACAGGAGGACUGUAACAUGGGGAAACAUCGGCAGUUACGUGAAGACUCCAUUAGAUCUCAUUUUUCUGCUGCAUAAAGAAGAGGAAAAAGAAUCCCAUUCUUCCUAGGGAAAAAAAAAUAAUUAGGGAAAAGGACAAAACCAAAGACAUCAGUGUAAAAAGAGGCUCUUGAAGAACAUACUCUUUUAAGCAGUAAUUUUGUCUUAAUUUCUUUCAGAAGCUCAGGAAUGAUUUACUAAUCACAUUAUGCCGCAUGGCCUUUCAUCUCAUGAAAAAAGAAAAUUAUGCGGUUUGAUGUUAUAGGGUGUACUUAAUAUGUAAAGACAGUAUUUCUUAAAGCAUGUAUUGAGGGCAGCAGAUCUGGGUUUAGUUGAUGGGGAAUGCCUGCCUCAUUGUGUUCCUUUUUUUUUUUUUUAGCUUCUACCACCUUCUUCCAUAAUUGCAUCUCAUCCAUGGGUGUCAGAUAUGGUUUCACAGGCACAGGUGCUGGUUGCUGUCAAAAGGAAAAAAAGAGGUUUAUUUGGGGUAUGAUCCUGCAUCACUGAAUCACUGCCAUUGGUUAUAGGGGAUAUAAGAUUUGGUGUACGGAGUUUAUUUCUGGGAGAGAACUGGCACUUGGGUCUAAUUAACUCCACUGAAAAAGGCAGGUGGAAACAGACACAAUUCUUUCCUUGUUUGUGUGGUAUCACAAUCAAAAGCACUGUUUCUCCUUCUUAAAUGCUGGGAGUUACGAAAGUCUUCAGUGAAGAAUGGGGAGUUUCGGUGGUGUGAAAUAGGGAGAGAAGACAAUCAGGCCUUGGAGAGGACUGUUUAAUUCCUCAGUCUUACAUGUGUUUUAUCACGGUCUUUUCUCUCCACUGCCGUGACUUUUCAGAGUGGCAAAUAUAGGCCGUGUCGAGCCUGCUCCUGUUCUCAGUGAAGUCAGUGGCAAAAUCCCAUUAACUUCAAUGAGCACAGGACUGCAUCCAAAACUGUAAAUAUGAAAGUGUUUGUAUAGCUGACGCAAUUCAAAAGGGGAUCUUUUUUUUGUGUAAAAAUGACAUUCCAUGCUUCCAUUUUAUUUUUGGGAUAUUUUUUAUCUUGUAUUUUUCUAUUAAAGUAUCUAUUUUUGCUUUGGUAGGAUUAAAAAUAAAGGAAGAGGAUGUUUUGAAGACAUAUUUUUUAUGAUAGGAGUAGUAUGCAGGGAAAGUCAACAGCUGUAAAUACAUUUUAGAACUAGCAUUUAGGGGAGGAGAAGUGACUUUGUUGAUAGUAACAGACUUUCUUCUCCAGGCAUGUGCAACAUUCAAGUAGUUACUUAAACAAUAUAAAUGCAGUUAUUGAGUUGUCAAUGGGAUGAUGGCACUGACGGUGAAAAUUACGAAUUUUUCAUGUUAAAGGGUCCUACAGAAGUUGGUGAGAUUUAGCUGUCCAUGUGUGUACAAUUGAACAGCCAAGGAACUACCUUCAGGAAUUGGGUGGUAAAACACUCUUCUAGUGGUGACUUUAAUCCUGCUGCCGUCAGUAUCCCUGGGACUUUUGCCAUUGAUUUUACCAGGAGCAGAACUGAAUCUGUGAUGAAUUAGCUACUGACAGGUUAUUUUAUACUAGACAAAGGAAAGUUUUGCACUUUCUAGUCAACAAAUGGAAAUGAACCGUAUACUUACUGUAAAUGUGGUGAAGAAGAUCCAUAAAAUAUUGUCUGUGGGAAAACUGAGCUAUGACUAUGGUUCUAGUGCAUGAAAUAUUUUGGUUUAUCCCGUUCUGAUUUUGUAAGAAAAAAUUGCUGGUCUCAGCUGUCAUAAUCAGAUUUGAAAAUUAAUCUCAAAAAUGGCUCUGAAGCCUGACUUCUACAAAACUUCUCAUCCCUGAGAAGCUAGAGUACCAACUCUGAUAAACCACUUUGGGGUUGCUGUAAGUGAAUGAAGAGUUAAAACCAGCUAUGCCUCCUUUCUGCUGCCUUUUAUUUGUUGAUGGACUUUUUUUCCCAUUAUAUUUCACUCCUUUCUUAGCAUAUAUAGAGGUUCAUCACCUGCCCUUGUUAAAUACUGUCCAAUUUUCCAGACAGACAGAGGGUAGGUCUUCCUGACUGUCAGGGCAGCUCCAGUACAGGGAGUAGAUUUGCAUCAUCCCAUUGCCACCUCUGGGCCUGUGUAACUUCUGCAACGGUGCCUUGGGCAGGUUUCUGAAGUAGCCUCCUUGUCUCAUGGGUACCAGAGAAGAAUGUAGGCUAGAGCAGCAUUCAUACUGCUAUGGAGUUGGGGAGAAAAAAAGACUUUGUGAUUAGUUUAUUUUUUUCAAGCGGUUGAGUUUGUCUAGUCCCUGGGCAUGCUUAAAGUUUGGGGUUUUUUUUAAUAGUUUCCAAGGCAGUUUUUAUCUACUUCUUGUUUUGCAAAGUUGCAUUUCAGUAUCUUCUUUUGCCCGUUUGACUACCUUGCUGCAGGAAAAAAAGAGAAGGAAAAUUCUUACAUAUGUAAAAAUAAGAGGGUGUGAUUUGAACCAUAAACUUUUUUUGAAAUUAUUUUUGUUGUGACUUUGCAGUGUAAACUAGUACUCAGUCACUUAAGACAGUUGUGUAGAUUUUAUUUUUCCUGUACCAUGCACAGUUGGGUCGGACCAGAAUAUCUGAGACAGGAGAUCCGGCUGGUACAAGAAAUUGUUAAGAGAGUUUGUUUAUUUAUUGUGUCAUUUUAUGAUAACUAUAAAAAAGCAUAGUGAAAUAUUGCUUUUUAUUAAAAAAGUAAUGAUUCUGAUCCUUGGUUUUAUAUAGGGUUUUAAAUCAUGAUCUCAAGAAGUGUUUUCUGUGAGUGUUUCUAUGAGAUGUCUGUUGGUAGGAUGCUGACAGAGGCUUAGCCAAAACUAUACAUCUCAGCACUUCCCAAGAAAGGUGAAUCUUUCUUGCACAUUAGAGUAUUUUAGAUCAAUGGGGUUUAAUCUUUCUACGUUGAUGCACGCAAAUGUUUGCAUUUUUCCCAUGGAAGUGUGGAGAUUAUUUAAGACAUUUCAGGUAAGUAGAUUCCUGUAUAGCAUAAACAGACUUGCUCAUCUUAGCUGCCUUUCACAGGCCUCUUGCAAAUAGUUCCCAGGUCUUCUCUGGACCAUAGAUCAAAAACUGCCUUGGGUUUAGAUUAUUCAGCGGAGAGAUUCUUUACUGGCUAAUGCACUGUGCCUUUCUGGUUCAUCUGCAUUAGCUCAAUGCCACAAUGUUUAAGCUUCAAACUCUGCAAGGGAAUGUCUAAUCAAAAUAAUAAUAAUUGAUUCUCAAAAGAGGUUUCAAGACCUACAUUUUUGGCUUCAGCAAAUUGCCCGUAUUACAAACACACAUCUGUAUUACAGAGCAGCACAAGGAGACCCUUCACCCAGCUCAGCACUUCAGAACAUACUUAAAAUAUGUUCAACUUCAGCUUCUAAGUGCUUUGCUCACUUGGGACCAAAGGAUAUGGUCCUGGCCAUGGCUGAACCAAAGGGAAAUUUGCCAUGUGCUUGAAUUGGAGAAAGGUUGGCCCUGUAGGCCAUAUGUUUCUUGCUACAUCUGACAGUUGUGCCUGUUAAAUUGAAAUUGAAGUAACAGCUUCAUACUUUUGUUUGUCAAAGUUUAACAAAUUCUGCUAAUUUUGUUUUGGGUUUUUUUUUUAAAUCACCAAAUAGUGAUCAGCUUAAUGGCUGAUUCACCUCAGAAUCUUCUUCCCGAGGAUUCUGACAGUUUACCUGUCACCUUCUUAACUUCAACACACAGGCUUCCACUGCAAGUGACUAAGAUGAAGCAACACUUUGAAAAGUAUCUGUAAUUUAUUAUCCUGAAACCCACAACUUCAGAGUCAGAUGCCUAGAUGUUUUGUCCUGAGCCACUGGUAGUUCUGGAAGCUUUUUUGUGGACAGUUUCUGUCUCCUUAAUUGUACAUCAGGACAGGACUACCAUCACCAGUACCAUCAUGACCAGUUAAUUACCAGCUCCUGCUGUGAUGUGCUUCAUUGAAGGCUACACCCAGCUAAGCUCUGAAAACAUUCAGUCAUUGGUAAAACUGAUGGUUGUGAGUGGUCUGCACCUUGCAAGAUUGUGGCCAGAAUUCACUAUUAAAGAGUUAGGUUAAUUCAUGUUUGAAAAUAAAUUGAAUUGAUCUAUUUUCAGUUUGGUUUUAAGAAAUGUGUUAUUGCAUUAUUGAAAGCUUUUUUUUUUUUUUUUUUUUUUGAGUUUUUUUAAUGUAUUAAUAAGCUGUAGCUAAUCCUUUGAAAACAUUCAUGCUGGAGAAAUUAAGAGCCUUCUCCCUUACAAAAUGUUUUACUGGGAGGUUGAUCUCUGAGUCAUGUUUUGGCUUGGCAGUGCAAUCAUACUGUCAUGAAGCUGACAAAAAAACUCUCAUUGAUUCAGUGGAAGUAAACUCAGGCCCUCAGUGCAGUGUCUUUAGGCUUGAAGGAGUUCAGGGUGAGUUUCUCAGCUUUGCAGUAGAACAGGCUGCAUCAGCCUUAGCUGACCUUGGCUCCAGUGCUAUUUUCACCUCAUGAAUGCCAUAAUGCUCCUGGAAAGCCAAGAAUAGACAUCAAAGACAGGAAGCUAAUAGUCCUGGUCAUAAAUUUCUCUGGCAAUUCAGUCCACCUUUCCCGGAGCUCAAGACAUUUCCACAUCCUUCACUGCCCUCCUCUGUGCUUCAGAGUGUGACCAUGUAGCAGUUCUAGUUCUUUCAGUAAAGCAGUUGAGGUUAUAUUUCCUCAUUUUUGCCCAGGGUAGAGUAAGCAGUCUUUAAUCCCCCUUUUUUUCAUGGUCUUUUGUGUAGAUUUAGAAGUACUUUGACAAGAGACAGCCAUUUUCCAUAACCUAAUCAGAAAUGUUCCUUCACUGCAAGUGUUGGCUUUCAUGUAAUUUCAGACAUGGUUCAUUGUCUCUGUGCUGCUCAGCUGCCAGCACACCUCGUGUUGGCCCGUGGCCACACCAGCCACUGUGUGAGAUCUAGACCCAGAAUUGUCUAUUGGGUUUUUUUAUCCUAAUUGUUGCUGCUAUAAAAUGAUGUCAGAUCUAGGCACCACCUUCCCCAAAGCAGGGCAUAUGGGAAGAGAAAUACAAGUUUCUAAUGGUACAUUACCUUUUCUCUUGGUUAGCAUUGUGGCCUAGUAACUCACCUCACAACAGUGAGCAAUAAAGAGACAAAUUUCAGCAAAGUGCAUGUUUUGGAGGAGUCAGUUUUAGUCCUUUUUAGAAACAAAGGAAUACAGGAGUUACUUUUUGGAAUAUAUUUUUAAGGACAUGCUGGAAAAAGUUUUGCCUUCAGAUAUGUUGUAUGUGUCACUUCUCCUCCCCCCUUUCCUUCUUGCUGUUGAAAGCACAAAAAGAUUUGUGUGUGUGUGAAACCUUUCAAGUGGGAGAAUGGAAGAGUUUGCACUGUGCAUAUCCCUGCUUAGAGAUGGAAAUUAAUUCAGAUGGCUUGAGGCCUGAAUUUUUUUCCCUUCUUAGAUACCUUCUAACAUCUGAGGUCUGAAACUGAUGAAAAAUGAUUGUUGAAAUUAAAACAAAUAGCUGUUUGUGGGAGACCUCAGACUUGGCUGUCUACAGGGGUCAGCAAGCUGCGUGGCAGACAUUGGUAGUGUCUGUUCUCUUCUAGAGAAUAAAAGAAAGCCUAAGCACUGGGGUUUGUCCCAGUGAAGUCUUAAGUCUGUCUUAAAUGCAGCUCUCCCUUUAUCUCACCCACAGAGGAAGAAAGGAUAAAGGUUAAUGUUGGUAUUUUUAUGGUGUUACUGCUGGUUUCAAUUGAGAAGAUAAUGCUGCCAUGGUUUUGAGGCUUUCUUGGGCUAGUGUUUAAUUGUGUCCAGUGUAUCAUUACAUAGACUGUUUUAUUACACUAUUACUUCCAGAAUUUACCUUCUAGGAGGUCCUAACUGACAUGCACCAGAUUUACAGAAUACAAACCUAGCUUUCAAAAAGAGAGGCUUAGAGUUCCUUCAAAAUCUUUCACUAACCACUAAGUUAAUAUUCAGCAUCAAAGGCAAAAUAUUCUAAAUAACCUGACACUGUUCAAGUUUGUAUGUUAAGCUGUAUAACUUCAGAAAUCUUAGGUGGAUUCAUUAGAUGUUGAAUCUUUGAAAGGUUAAAAUCCACUCUGUGUGAACUGUUGCUUGAUGUUUCUGUCAUGUGAAUGUUUCUAGAGGACAGUUGAGCAAGCAAAGAAAAUGUACCAAAAUGAGUAUUUAAGAAAAUAAUCUCAUUUAGUUGUUUCUUUUGUAAUCUCAAAUGGUAUGCACAGGGAACACACAAUUCUUCCCCCAGGCCCCCAGCUAUGGACAAAGGUUUUGCUAAUUAGUUGUUUACUGACAGCAGACAUAAUGAGCACAGGUGUCUUGGUUCAUAGUUGAGGAUGAUCUGGACUUCUCUUUCUCUGAGAACAGUGUAUGAAGUGUGAUAGAGGAACGAGCCAUCAAUGGUCAUUUUUCUGUGUUCUGUGUGAGAGGUAAAUGUUUCCUCGCAUAUUUAGUAGCGCCCUGAUGUAACAUUGAGAUCACUUCUGCCAUAUGUGAUCCAUGGGAUUGAAAGAUCUGUUGAAAAUACAGAUCUUUGGGUUAGGGUUAGAGGGGACCUUAAAUAUCAUAGUUCCAACCCCUCUGCUGAAGCAUCUGCAGCUGAGAGAAGAGGGAAAAUGCUCAGGCACUGACUGUACUCCCACGAUGAUGCUAUUGACUGUAUGGAGGAUGGGAUUGAGUUCCUUCUGCACAGUACCAUCUUUAUUGUUCAAUAUCUGCUCUCUUAGAGAUGCAGCAGAAAGCUUUUAAAUCUCACACAGCCCCCCUGCCUUAAAUGCAGACAGGAUUUAAGUGGUGCAUGGGGCCUGCUCAGGGUGUACUGUGUCCUUAGGUUGGGUAUUUACCCAGUAACAAUGGCGUCUUCACUGCACAGGUCUCAAAGUGCUGAGAAAACUUGAGUGAAGUGGCAGGAUGAAGGCAGUGGGUAGAAUUUGCAGUGUUUCUUGUGCAUAACUAUCAAAAACUAAGAGGACUCAGGAUAGACACUGUGGACAUUAACUUUGUCCCCCUUUUUUUCAGUGAUACUGUUAUUAAUGUAAAAAUACUGGACAACAGAGAAACCUAGUACCAGUCUAGUAGAAAACAAAUGGAAAGCUGCACAGUAUAUUGUACUGAUAAAUCAGUAAUGAUUAAUGUUUUACCCCCACUAUAUUAUACAUCUUCAGGGAAGACGGCAGGAAGACAGACUUCUGACAUCUUUCCUUCAUUGACAGCAAUGGAAAAAAGUCUCAUCAACUUUCCUAAAAUGAGCUUUUCACUCAGGCUUGGGAAUAUGGCUUGAGAGAUCAUUGACUGAAUUUGUGUUCAGUGCAUGACCCCCGGGCUAUUAGUGCAUGCCCAACAUGUCAUUAUCUUCACAGUGACAGGACUUUCUUCCACUGUCGCUAGAUUAAUCAUUUUUUUUAGUAGCUUGUCCUUCAAAAUAAAUGCUUGAGAUAUGUGUGAUGAAUUGUGUACAUGUAUAUGUAUAUCAAUAUUUAUGAAACAGUUCAUCCAAGUGUGUUGGGUAUCCUUUUGUCAGAGAGCAUCAGCCAGUCUGACAGGUAAAAAUUUCGUGUAGUGAAAUUACUUAAGGCAAUUGAUCUUCAGUGGUAGCAACUUUUGGAUAUCAUUUUAGAUAUCCUGAAACCUAGCUGGACACAUUUUUGCGGCUUUCUUAGGAAACUAUUUCUUGAGGAACAUUCAUCACAUUUCUGAAAAAUUAUGGUGGCCUUUGAGCCAAAUCUUGGUCUUGAACCUCUGCCAAUGUUUUCUUGAGUUGAAAGAGCACUGCCAAUAAAAAAUAAUUGUACAACUGACAGAA